rnacentral:rRNA from 1 species
GACGAACGCUGGCGGCGUGCCUAACACAUGCAAGUCGAGCGGGGACAUAUUCGGAAGGUCUUCGGAUUGGAAGGAUAUGUUCUAGCGGCGGACGGGUGAGUAACGCGUGAACAAUCUGUCCCAGACAGGGGGAUAACAGAUGGAAACAUCUGCUAAUACCGCAUAAUGCAGUUGGGCCGCAUGGCUCUGACUGCCAAAGAUUUAUCGCUCUGAGAUGGCCUCGCGUCUGAUUAGCUAGUUGGUGGGGUAACGGCCCACCAAGGCGACGAUCAGUAGCCGGACUGAGAGGUUGGCCGGCCACAUUGGGACUGAGACACGGCCCAG